UGUUGGCUAGGUCCAUGCUUGAGUUUAAGAUUAUUAGCUUCAACCAUUCUGUCACAAUCGUCUAAGGAUUCAUCAUCAGAUGUUUCUGGAAACUCUUUAGAAAGUACUGUGCUUUGGUCAUUGAAUUCUUCCUCAAUUAGAUCAUCUAGCACAUCGACAAUAUGGCAUUCUUCUUUGUCCUUACAUUAAAUAGAUUCAAAAACACUGAAGGUGACUUCCUUAUCAUUAAGUCGCAUUGUUAGUUCACCUUUGUAAACAUCAAUAAGUGUUCGGUCGG
rnacentral:lncRNA from 1 species